AUUGAACGCUGGCGGCAGGCCUAACACAUGCAAGUCGAGCGGCAGCGGGAUAGUAGCUUGCUACUUUUGCCGGCGAGCGGCGGACGGGUGAGUAAUGCCUGGGGAUCUGCCCAGUCGAGGGGGAUAACUACUGGAAACGGUAGCUAAUACCGCAUACGCCCUACGGGGGAAAGCAGGGGACCUUCGGUCCUUGCGCGAUUGGAUGAACCCGGGUGGGAUUAGCUAGUUGGUGAGGUAAUGGCUCACCAAGGCGACGAUCCCUGGCGGGUCUGAGCGGAUGAUCAGCCACACUGGAACUGAGACACGGUCCAGACUCCUACGGGAGGCAGCAGUGGGGAAUAUUGCACAAUGGGGGAAACCCUGAUGCAGCCAUGCCGCGUGUGUGAAGAAGGCCUUCGGGUUGUAACGCACUUUCAGCGAGGAGGAAAGGUUGGUAGCUAAUAACUGCCAGCUGUGACGUUACUCGCAGAAGAAGCACCGGCUAACUCCGUGCCAGCCGCCGCCGUAACAC
rnacentral:rRNA from 1 species